rnacentral:rRNA from 1 species
GUAGGGAAUAUUGCACAAUGGAGGAAACUCUGAUGCAGCGACGCCGCGUGAGUGAUGAAGGCCUUCGGGUCGUAAAGCUCUGUCGCAGGGGAAUAACACAAUGAAGGUACCCUGUAAGAAAGGAUCGGCUAACUUCGUGCCAGCAGCCGCGGUAAGACGAGGGAUCCUAGCGUUGUUCGGAAUCAUUGGGCGUAAAGCGGAUGUAGGUGGCUAUGUAAGUCAGAUGUGAAAGCCUGGGGCUCAACCCGAGAAGUGCAUUUGAUACUGCGUAGCUUGAGUGUCGGAGAGGUUACUAGAAUUGUUGGUGUAGUGGUGAAAUACGUAGAUAUCAACAGGAAUACCGGAGGCGAAGGCGGGUAACUGGCCGAACACUGACACUGAGAUCCGAAAGCGUGGGGAUCAAACAGGAUUAGAAACCCCAGUAGUCC